UACAGAGGUCUCAAGCGUUGUUCGGAUUCAUUGGGCGUAAAGGGUGCGUAGGUGGCGCUGUAAGUCGGGUGUGAAAUUUCGGAGCUUAACUCCGAAAACUGCAUUCGAUACUGCGGUGCUUGAGGACUGGAGAGGAGACUGGAAUUCAUGGUGUAGCAGUGAAAAUGCGUAGAGAUCAUGAGGAAGACCAGUGGCGAAGGCGGGUCUCUGGACAGUUCCUGACGCUGAGGCACGAAGGCCAGGGGAGCAAACGGG
rnacentral:rRNA from 1 species